rnacentral:miRNA from 1 species
CGUUUAGUGUAAGUAUAUCCCAUGCCAUCUUUGGGACAUAUUUAUCCUGAAA